GCCUGGCUAACUCAAUUGGCAGAGUGUCAGACUUUUAAUCUGAAAGUUCGGGGUUCGACCCCCCGGUCGGGCG
rfam:Talaromyces islandicus isolate WF-38-12 genome assembly, contig: WF-38-12_scaffold00006